UUAUGGUGCUAAAGGUGUCUCUUAGCCAUAUACCUGAACCAGUCUUUUCUAUCUGUCAUCUUUAGCUUUCUUCUUCUAAGUGUCAGUUCUAUCUAACAUGGAUACAUGCAAUGCAAGAACUCCGUUGUGCUGGUUGCUGUUCCGCUUGUCAAGCAAAAUGAAUUCCCCUUCUAUGUCACCUUUGCAUGUUCAUAACUGGCAUCAAGUUUCUCUCCUAAUCUUUAAGCAAAACAAGGAUUUUGAAUCUCUAAUUAUAUUAAUUAGUUCAGCAUUAGACAACCCCCACAUAAUGUUGACGUAUGCCAGCACAAUUUCUAGCUUGCAUUUCAUCCAAACCAAAAUCCAAAAGGUCCAAUCUCUGUUGCCCAACCACUCUUAACGCUACUUUAGGGCAAGGAGACAACCAGUCUGCGGAGAAGAUGUUUAAAAACGAUUGCUAUUUCAAAGAUAUUGCAAAGAUGUUUGAAAAAGUAAG
rnacentral:misc_RNA from 1 species